GUCGACGGCCGUACCACCCUGAACGCGCCCCGUCUCGUCGGAUCUCGGACGGUGAGCAGGGUCGGGCCUGGUUAGCACUUGGAUGGGAGUGAAGGUCAUUCCGUGAACA
rnacentral:rRNA from 1 species